GAGGAUGAUACGUCGAUGGGUUUGGUGCUGAGGUUCAACGGCGCGUCGUCCUCUGUAAAUUGACAAGACCAAUUGACAGGCUGGUCGUAAAACUGUCACACAAAGUGAUUGGUGUGCUGUGUCAACCAGAGAGAGAGAGAGAGAUCGACGUGACAAAUAAUAAUUAAUUGCAAAGGCAACCGGAUGCCAAAAUGGGCGCAUACGCAAGUGGACGAUAUCGCCGAUGGGAUUAGUAAUUGGUUUAAUUGCCAGGCAUUAUCGACAGCAAUGAAGAUACCCCGUGUCGUCCUUUUGGGAGAUGUCGUUCGAGUAGGACUUGGAGGCUCAUCGCGUACUGGUGAACAACUGGCAACCGGUAUCGUUUGCUGAGGUCCAAUUCUUGGAGGUAGAAUCGAAUGGGGCAACAGAAG